CAAACACUCCCCUGGAGGAGAUGAGAGUGCCACAGACGUGGCCACACCCCGCUCUCCUUCAGGUCUUGCCUCUGUAAACUCCUCCAAACCCACCCUUCCACCUUCCAGGCUGGUUUUCAACAGAAAGGGAAAAUGAUUAAUGCUUAUGAUGUUCUGUAUAGUGAAGGAUUAUAUCUUCUCCAGCAUAGAGCUGAGAAUGGCUCAGAUGAAGUGAGUGUGUCCAGAGGUUCUGUGAGGGGUCAGAUCAGUAGAAGGACUCUUGAAAAGCAGCCCAUCCCUGCCUUGGGUUGCAGAAGCAAAAUUAACUGGAUGGCACUUAUAUCAGAAUGAGCUCCAUGACCCUCAUGCUCUUUCUGUCCUGUUGUUGGACCCUUCUAAUGGAACGUACGCAUGAGCACUUCCCAAACCAAAACAGAAGGAGGGAGCAGACAGAGGAAGUGUCAGAAACAUACAGACAGCUGCCUCCGAGGCCUCAAAUGAGAGCUCCGCUGAGGAUAACAUAAGCGGCCUGUUUGCAUAAGAUGUUGUGGGAGGUGACUCAAUGCCUGUGGGGAUGCAUUGAGGAGAUAGACUGUUUGGAUCUCUGCCACCUCCACACUCUCAAUUACAGCAUUUGGCUGGACCACUUCUGGCUGGCCGCGAAAAAGCGGCCUCCACCAGAUGCGCUGGGAGCAGCAGCCAUGCAGUGGUAAACCAGACGCAGAUCACCUACACUUCCUCUGGCUUCUCGCGCUGCAGCAAACACAGUCUAGUCAAAAUAAUAGCGUAAGUUUCUUUUCGAGUUCUCAGACAAAGUGUAAAUAUACUCACAUCAGAUGGAGGCAGAGACAGAAAGACAAAAAAUAAUUCUUCUCAUGAACAGGAAACAUACUCAUGUCAGAAAACAUUGUGUGGUCAUUUAGGCCUCCGUACAUGGCAGUCAUUCCUGAUUAAGCAAUAUUGUACUGCUGUACUGAACAUUAGUCAACAUGUUGAUAUUCAGACCAACAGCACAAUUUUUUUUUUUUGCUUUCAACUGUGCUGAUUUUCCAUUGUUUUUCUCUGUAAACGUGCGCUGGACAUUUUUGACCAUUUUUUUAUUCUUUUUUUGACUCUUUUUCAGUGCCUUGUGGAUGACACUGUUAAAACUUAAAAAAAAAAAAAAAAAAGGCUGCUUGAGGACCAAUAUUAAGUGUCACAUAAUGUAGGACAAAGCACAUGAGAUGAUGAAAUAUAAUGUUGCUCAACUACACAAGCACACCAUCAUGAAUUUAGCGUCUUUUAUUGUUCCCAUUUGUGCUAACUUAAUGUGAGUAACCCAGAGUUCAUUUCAUUACUCAUUCUGUGGUUAUCACUGAUUUGCCCGUCAUGAAGAGGUUCAAAGUGAGGGAUGUAAAAAAAUUAAACUUCAAAUGUAAGAUGGACUGGAAGGAUAUAUUCUAAUAUACUUCAAAAGAUGUACUCUUUCAUUCGGACUUAUAAUCAUUUAUAUUCUUGGGAAACAGUAGUUACAUUUAACUCCCUCAAAAUUAGUAAUUGACUGGUAUGUUUUUCAAAUGUAGGUUCUCAAUAGUUCCACCUUCAUUUUGAAUAUGUGUUUAAAUUAUUGACUAAAUACAUCUGCUUCACUACUAAUAAUCAAAACAUUUCUAUCUCUAAAUCUUUAUAUCAUCAUAGGACAUUUUCUGCUUUCUGACAGAUUAUUCCACUAACAAAACCCUUUGAGGAUUUACCUCAAAGAUGUGUCAGAAACAGUGUUGGGUAAGUUACUUCAAAAAAGUAAUUAAUUACUAAUUACAUCAUCAAUGUUGUGUUUAAAAUACUUUUCUAAUUACUGUCUGAAAAGUAACUUAAUUACUCAAUAAGUAACUUACUAAUUACUUCUUAAAAUCCCUAUAAACCUUGACCAGAUAAACAAUAAAAAGGAAACUCUUUUAAUAAUUUAGUCAAACAUGAAAUAGUUUAGCCUUUUAUAGCUUUUUAAAACAUUUUAACUUUAUUAAAACGUAUACUAUAAUACUUUUAUUUACUUUAUAAUACUUAUUUUUUUUUAGUAACAAAUAGGGAUGUCUUGUCACUAUACCAAAAAUCUAGUAGUCGGUACCAAUACCACCAAAAGUGCACAAUACUGAAUACCACGGUAAAAAUAUAUACAAAUACAAAUAAAACAAUGCUAUAUAUUUUUUUCCCAGGUAGGUCUAAUAGUAGUAAGUAAAAAUACCACAGAAAUUGAAUAAUCAAAUAUAAAAUAACUCUGCAUAGUCAUAACUGUAUAAAUUAAAUAUAGAUUAAUCCUUAUUAAAGCUUUUCUUUUGUUGUUUGAUUAUCAUUUAUAAUACAGACAUCCAAUAGUAGACAGUAGCAUGUUUUAAAGGCUGCUGUCACUAAGACCUAAUGGACGGAGACAAUAUGCUGUUACACAUGCUGUUCACAUUCACAUAACCAACGCGAAUAUACGCCAAGACGGGCAUUUUGACAUAACUGUGUGUGUAUUUGAACGUUUAUGUGUAAUAAACCGCGAAAAUCUAUGUGUGUGCGCUUUGGUCGAGAGCGCACUGACUGAAGACCGUCUCUCAGAGAGCGCGCGCAGUUUUUUCUCUCUAGGACAUAGCUUAGAUUUUACUGUAAUGUUCUUGCCUACCUGUGUCGAAAAAGUGAAGUAAUUGGAAUAUUUUCAUGCUGAAAAACAGCCACUCGCUUCUGCCGACAUCUUCAGACAGCGACUACACAGCUAACUGGUGCGAAGUUGCGAACUCACGAGCAACUCCACUACAGCUAACGAUUUUAAAGAGGCAGCGUUCACUUUUACCUUUAGACGACAAAUUUAAAUUUUAAAUUCAAUAUUGAUUUAAACAGAACUGUUGAACUAAUUUACAGUAUGUAACGCAAAUACAUUAUAACUGUAAUUAAAUUACCUAAAAAUGAACAGUAAUCCCUUACUUUACUUUUUCAGUGGAUAAGUAAUUUAAUUAUAGUAACGCGUUACACCCAACACUGGUCAGAAACUAUUAUAGUAAAUGUCCUCACGGUUCAUGCUGUGGUGCAUUUUACAUAGUUUGACAACUCUUAAAUGAGCUCUGAAAAUUAUUCUCUGGCUAAAUCAGUGGUCUUGACACAUAUUUCUCCUAUUAUAAGACAACCUCAUCUCCUCAAAGAAUACCAAAAGUAUCAGUUGCUUUCAGAAACUGGUGUGUAUGCAGAUGAUUUACAGGAACUGGGAGCCCAAAGGCAAAAGACUUAGUCAUGAUGAUGAGCCCUUGUUCUUUUCAGAGGGUUUCAGAGGUUCAGACUAAAUUUCCCUUAAGACAGUACCAGUGACUGUCUGUACAACAAAAGCUAUUUCAUUUGAAUUUAUGUAUUCUGCAUGAGGUGUUUCGAAUAAAAUAUGAGUUGCUUCUUGUCAAAUUA